GUGUCAGCAGCCGCGGUAAUACAGAGGUGGCAAGCGUUGUUCGGAUUUAUUGGGCGUAAAGGGUUCGUAGGCGGCCCGGAAAGUUGGAUGUGAAAUCCCAUGGCUUAACCAUGGAACUGCAUUCAAAACUCCCGGGCUAGUGGGCGAGAGGGGUAAAGGGAAUUCCCGGUGUAAGGGUGAAAUCUGCAGAGAUCGGGAAGAACACCAGUCGCGAAGGCGCUUUACUGGCUCGCUUCAGACGCUGAGGGACGAAAGCUAGGGGAGCAAACGGGAUUAGAUACCCCGGUAGUCC
rnacentral:rRNA from 1 species